GGGUAUGGCUCAGUGGUAGACUACUUGCCUAGCAUGCAUGAGGCCCUGGGUUCGAUCCCCAGCACUGCCCA
rnacentral:tRNA from 1 species